GGGCGCGGGAUGGAAGAGGAGCCGGGGCAAGAAGGAGGGCUCCUGGAUGGGCGUGACUAGAGCUUGCCUUUAAAAGACUUGAAAUUAUCUGGAUCCUGACAUCUUCCUUUUCGGACCUGCUGAGUCACGGAAUAUUGUCAGUGCCAGAAUGACUCAGUUCACAGAGCCCGAGCCAAAAGAUCAUGAGUUUUAGUCCCAGAUCAGAACUACCUACAGUGCUGAUGGAACAAGCAGACAGGGGAAGGGAGGUUGCUGUGAAAAUGAUCCAGUUGAGAGCGGGGCGUGGAAGCCCACUGCUGGAAUCCCAACCCAAGAUGCAAAGCAGACCCACAAAGUGGCCGCUCCAGACGCAUUUUUAAAAAAACUUUCAGACUUAAUGAUACAGUGAUAACAAUAAAUACCAUUUUGGCUUCA